UGAGCCAGGCAGGCAGCCGCGGGCGCAGUCCGAAAGGGCGCGCGUGAGGAAAGUCCGGGCUCCACAGGGCAGGGUGCCGGGUAACUCCCGGUGAAGGCGACUUCAAGGAUAGUGCAACAGAAAUAGACCGCCGGCUCCGGCCGGCAAGGAUGGAAAGGCGAGGUAAGAGCUCACCAGCGGGCUGGCGACAGUCCGGCUAUGUAAACCCCACCUGGAGCAACACCGUGGAGGGACAUCAAUGUGGCCCGCAUGUCCCGGGGAGGUGGCUUGAGCCGUCCGGAAACGGUCGGCCUAGACAGAUGGCUGCCAGAUACAGGACCCGGCUUACAGCCUGACUCAGUAA
rnacentral:RNase_P_RNA from 1 species